rnacentral:rRNA from 1 species
CUCUUAUAAAAUUUUAAGUAAUCUCUGCCCUAUGAUUUUUAAAUGGCCGCAGUAUCUUGACUGUGCAAAGGUAGCAUAAUCAUUUGCCUUUUAAUUGGGGGCUGGAAUGAAGGAGUCGACGAGAUAUAAUCUUUUGAUUUUAGUAAUUAAAUUGACAUAAGAGUCAAAAGGCUCUUAUUUUUCUGGGGGACGAUAAGACCCUAUAAAACUUUAUUUUUCUUAAUAUCUUAUAGAAAUAGAUUAAUAGAAGAAUUCAACUGGGGCGGUUUUUACUAAACCUAUAUAAAUUUCAAUAUAAAAAAUAAAUUUAGAUAACUUAAAUAAAAAUUUAAAUAAGUUACUUUAGGGAUAACAGCAUAAUCUUCUCAGAGAGUCCAAAUCGGCGGGGAGGGUUAUGACCUCGAUGUUGAAUUGAGAAAACUUCUAUUGGGCAGCACUAUAGAAAGUCAGUCUGUUCGACUAUUAAAUUCUC